GACAGAGGUCCCGAGCGUUAGGCGGAAUCACUGGGCUUAAAGCGUGUGUAGGCGGCGGCCUAAGUACCUUGUGAAAUCCCACGGCUCACCCGUGGAACUGCUCGGUAUACUGGGUCGCUUGAGCCACUUUAGGGGCUACCGGAACAAAUGGUGGAGCGGUGAAAUGCGUAGAUAUCAUUUGGAACGCCAAUGGUGAAAACAGGUAGCUGGGAGUGUGCUGACGCUGAGACACGAAAGCCAGGGGAGCAAACGGG
rnacentral:rRNA from 1 species